rnacentral:tRNA from 1 species
GGAGAGGUGGCUGAGCGGCUGAAGGCAACGGUUUGCUAAACCGUCGUACCUCUAACGGGGUACCGGGGGUUCGAAUCCCCCCCUCUCCGCCA